rnacentral:rRNA from 1 species
ACGAACGCUGGCGGCGUGCCUAAUACAUGCAAGUCGCGCGUGAAAGUCCUUCGGGAUGAGUAAAGCGGCGCACGGGUGAGUAAUGCAUAGGAACAUACCCUCGGGUGGGGAAUAACCACGGGAAACUGUGGCUAAUACCGCAUAAUGACGUGAGUCUAAAGCAGGCCUCUGUUUACAAGCUUGCGCCAGAGGAGUGGCCCAUGUCCCAUUAGCUAGUUGGUAGGGUAAUGGCCUACCAAGGCGACGAUGGGUAGCUGGUCUGAGAGGAUGAUCAGCCACACUGGGACUGAGACACGGCCCAGACUCCUACGGGAGGCAGCAGUAGGGAAUCUUGCACAAUGGGCGAAAGCCUGAUGCAGCAACGCCGCGUGAGUGAAGAAGGCCUUUGGGUUGUAAAGCUCUUUCGGCCGGGAAGAAGGGGUAGCCUGCGAACAGUUGGCUAUUCUGACGGUACCGGAAGAAGAAGCACCUGCUAACUUCGU